UUUAAAGUCUGACCUGCCCAAUGAUGAGUUUAAUGGCCGCAGUAUUUUGACUGUGCAAAGGUAGCAUAAUCAUUAGUUUUUUAAUUGAAAGCUAGAAUGAAUGGUUUGAUGAAAAAAUUACUUUCUAUUUUUUAUUAAAAUAAAAUUUUAUUUUUAAGUAAAAAAGCUUAAAUUUUUUUAUAAGACGAGAAGACCCUAUAGAGUUUAAUUUUAAAAAAUAUAAAUAUUAAAUGAAUUAAUAUAAUUUUUAUAUUUAUAAAAUUUUAUUGGGGUGAUAAAAAAAUUUAAUAAACUUUUUUAAAUAAAAACAUUUAUUUAUGAAAAAUUGAUCCUAUUUUAUAGAUUAAAAGAAAAAAUUACCUUAGGGAUAACAGCGUAAUUUUUUUUAGAGUUCUUAUCGAAAAAAAAGAUUGCGACCUCGAUGUUGGAUUAAAAUUUAGUUUUAGUGUAGAAGCUAAAAUAUUAAGUCUGUUCGACUUUUAAAAUUUUACA
rnacentral:rRNA from 1 species